ensembl:lincRNA
GGCCGCCCAUGCUCCCCAGGCUGCAGUGCUGCAUUGCUGAACCUGUGUUCCGUGAGGUGAGGUUCGCCGUGGGCAACAGUGAGAGAGCCGCAAGAGGAGCUGUGAAAAACCUAACAGCAGGUGGGCAUAACAUCCUCUUUGACCAUUUCUGAUAUGAAACAUCUAGUUCAAUGUUAGCACAACUCAGAGGUUCCUGGAAGAGACAGAAGAUGAUGGAUAGGCCGGUUUCAGGCUGCCGUCUUGAACUGGAAGUCUAUAUCUCCCAAUGCCGUUUGGAUUUCUUUGGUUCUGAUAUUUUUAUUUUAUUUUAUUCUGAUAUUUUAUUUAUUCGAUGUUUUUUUUUCUUUGAGACGGAGUCUCGCUCUGUCUCCCAGGCUGGAGUGCAGUGGCUUCAUCUUGGCUCACUGCAAACUCCGCCUCCUGGGUUCAUGUCAUUCUCCUGCCUCAGCCUCCCGAGUAGCUGGGACUACAGGCACCCACCACCAAGCCCGGCUAAUUUUUUGUGUUUAUUUAUUUAUUUUUUUAGUGGAGACGGGGUUUCACCGUGUUAGCCAGGAUGGUCUCAAUCUCCUGACCUCGUGAUCUGCCCGCCUCGGCCUCCCAAAGUGCUGGGAUUACAAACAUGAGCCACCGCGCCCAGCCUAUUUAUUUGAUUUUUUAAAGAGAUAGGGUCUCACUGUGUUGCCCAGGCUGGAGUGAGUGGUGCAAUCAUGGCUCACUGUUACCUCAAGCUCCUGGGCUCAAGCCAUCUCCCACCUCAGCCUCCUGACUAGCUGUGACUAUGUGUGUGCCACCAUGUGUGGCUAUUUUUUUUUUUUUUUUGGAGAGAUGGUGGUCCUGCUGUGUUGCUCAGGGUGAUCUCAAACCCUUAACCUCAAGCAAUGGUUCUGAUAAUUUUUUACUGACAGGUUCUGUUUUAUAGUUAUCUUGUUGCUAUUGCCACUUCGAAUUCUAUGUGGAAGGGCCUGGGGACAAAUAAAUAAAUAAAUAUCCUAAACAAACA